rnacentral:tRNA from 1 species
UCCCUGGUGGCUCAGUGGGUGAAGGACCCAGUGUUGUCACUGCUAUGGUGCAGGUUCUAUCCCUGUCCUGGGAA